rnacentral:rRNA from 1 species
GAUGAACGCUAGCGGCAGGCUUAAUACAUGCAAGUCGAGGGGCAGCAGGGGUGUAGCAAUACACUCGCUGGCGACCGGCAAACGGGUGCGGAACACGUACGCAACUUACCCAAAACUGGGGAAUAGCCCGGGGAAACCCGGAUUAAUACCUCGUAACAUAAUGAAGUGGCAUCACUUUAUUAUUAUAGCUCCGGCGGUUUUGGAUGGGCGUGCGCCUGAUUAGGUAGUUGGCGGGGUAACGGCCCACCAAGCCUACGAUCAGUAACUGGUGUGAGAGCACGACCAGUCACACGGGCACUGAGACACGGGCCCGACUCCUACGGGAGGCAGCAGUAAGGAAUAUUGGUCAAUGGGACGCAAGUCUGAACCAGCCAUGCCGCGUG